CCUUCAUUCGCCGUACGGCGGAUUGGAUGUAUGUGUUGAGUGGUCAACAUCAUGGAAGAAUUAAAAUUAACUAUUUUUUAAUGUUGUUGGCCUUCAUCUUUCACUAGAAGAGGGAUCAAAGCCAAUUUUUGAUCGCGAAGAACUGAAAAUAAGCGAAUGCAGUACAGAUGAGGCUCCGGAACGACGAACAAUUCUGCGUCAUGAACCUAAAACAGCUUUUCAUUCUUCAGGUAAAAAGGAAUCAUCGAAAAGACGUUCCAGAUCAGUAAAUUCAGAGAGGCCGAGGCGUCAGAGCUCGCGGAGAUUGUCGAGGUAAGUAAACACUCACACAAGCCAAAGAAUUAUUAAAGGAGAAGUUCUUUAAUAUGGAUUAAAACUGAUUGGUUCAGGAAUGAUUCAAACAAUGCGCUAAAUUCAUUGCCUGAUAAUUGUGGAAUGGAAGACGUUAAAUUUAUUAUAAUUGCAAUGGAUGUUGAGUUGUGCUUCUCCCUAGGUGAUGAAUCAAAACCCAUUUUGGAACGGGAGGAACUGAAGGCUGAGGAAAAAAAUAUUGUCGACAUUCCAGAACAACGUACAGUAGUUGCUCGCAAUGACUUGGAAACUGCUGAGCCCGAUAGAAGAUCAGCUACUUUACCAUAUGCUCAAUCCGUCGUCUUCCCGAUGUACUAUGAUGUGAGCAUCUGUUAUUAAUUGAUGUCACAGUUCAAUAUAUUCAAUAUGAAUUUCACAGUGACGAUAGACGUCCUGUAGAAAUUUGGAAUGAGAUUUUUCAUCCAGUGGGCUUAUCCAGUGGGCCUUUUUUUUUUUUAUUUGGGAAUUUUCAAGUUAAACCAUUAAAUAAUCAUGUCAUUUCGUUUAAUUUUGACAUAAAAAUUGUUUCGAAAUUCAAAUAAAACAUUUAACUCAUGUAGUACACCAGGCUGCAACAUGGUCAGACUAUAAGAAGUGUAAUUUUUGUAAAUAUCUGAUAUCCAUAACUCCUGAUGAAUUGAUUAAUUUCAUCUCCUGUGGAUUUGGCGGUCACUCCAGGGACAUAAAAAUUGUCAAAAAUUCUGGAUAUUUAUCGGUUCUCCCUUCUGGGUCAUCUAUUCUCGCAGAUAGAGGAUUUAAACAAAUCGAAUCCUAGUUACACCAAAAAAAAAACUGUAAACUUCUGCGACCUUCUUCGGUCCAAACAGAUGUGAAACCUACCAAAGAGGAAGUCUUAAAAACGACAGAAAUUGCCAGUGUAAGAAUCCACGUAGAGAGAGUGAUCAGACGCCUGAGAGAAUUUAAAAUGUUGCAACCACAUGUUACGGUCGAUCACAACUUAAUCCAUCUGAUGGAGGAUAUAGUACAGGUGGCCGCUGCAUUCGUAAACUUACAAAGCAAAAUAAUAACAUGUUGAUUACAAAAAUUUAGACUCAUUGAGAUAUGUAUACCGAUGUAUUUUUAAUAAAUUAAUGCAUUAUAGUUUCAA